AGCAGCCGCGGUAAUUCCAGCUCCAAUAGCGUAUAUUAAAGUUGUUGCAGUUAAAAAGCUCGUAGUUGAAUUUCGGGAUCAAUAUAUCGGUCGUGCCUUGGUACGUACUGGUAUCAUUGGUUUCUCCUUUCUGACGAACCAUGAUGUCAUUAAUUUGGUGUUAUGGGAAGUUAGGACUGUUACUUUGAAAAAUUAGAGUGUUUAAAGCAGGCUUUAGCUUGAAUACAUUAGCAUGGAAUAAUGAAAUAGGACGUUCGAACCUAUUUUGUUGGCUUCUAGGAUCAACGUAAUGAUUAAUAGGGAUAGUUGGGGGCAUUAGUAUUCAAUUGUCAGAGGUGAAAUUCUUGGAUUUAUUGAAGACUAACUACUGCGAAAGCAUUUGCCAAGGAUGUUUUCAUUAAUCAAGAACGAAAGUUAGGGGAUCGAAGACGAUCAGAUACCGUCGUAGUC
rnacentral:rRNA from 1 species